GUGUGUGUGUGUGUGUGUGUGUGCACGCCAAUACUAGGCCUUGAACUCAGGAGUCUCACGCUCUCACUUGGCUCUUUAUUUUCCACUCAAAGC